rfam:Halobacteroidaceae bacterium T328-2 scaffold_1111, whole genome shotgun sequence.
UUUUGAAGGGGCAAACUUGUUGUGAAGCAGGGGCGCAAAGCUAUGGGUCUUAAAUAUAAAGACUGCCAGGCUGCCAAAU